GACGAACGCUGGCGGCGUGCUUAACACAUGCAAGUCGAGCGGUAAGGCCCUUUCGGGGGUACACGAGCGGCGAACGGGUGAGUAACACGUGGGUGACCUGCCCUCAGCUCUGGGAUAAGCCUGGGAAACCGGGUCUAAUACUGGAUAUGACUCCACGGUGCAUGUCGUGGGGUGGAAAGCCUUGUGCGGCUGAGGAUGGGCCCGCGGCCUAUCAGCUUGUUGGUGGGGNGAUGGCCUACCAAGGCGACGACGGGUAGCCGGCCUGAGAGGGCGACCGGCCACACUGGGACUGAGACACGGCCCAGACUCCUACGGGAGGCAGCAGUGGGGAAUCUUGCGCAAUGGGCGAAAGCCUGACGCAGCGACGCCGCGUGAGGGAUGACGGCCUGG
rnacentral:rRNA from 1 species